rnacentral:rRNA from 1 species
GGGGAUAGCCUUUCGAAAGAAAGAUUAAUACCCGAUGUCAUAGUCCUACCGCAUGAUGGGAUUAUUAAAGAAUUUCGGUAUGGGAUGGGGAUGCGUUCCAUUAGUUAGUUGGCGGGGUAACGGCCCACCAAGACAACGAUGGAUAGGGGUUCUGAGAGGAAGGUCCCCCACAUUGGAACUGAGACACGGUCCAAACUCCUACGGGAGGCAGCAGUGAGGAAUAUUGGUCAAUGGACGAGAGUCUGAACCAGCCAAGUAGCGUGAAGGAUGACUGCCCUAUGGGUUGUAAACUUCUUUUAUAUGGGAAUAAAAUGUUCCACGUGUGGGAUUUUGUAUGUACCAUAUGAAUAAGGAUCGGCUAACUCCGUGCCAGCAGCCGCGGUAAUACGGAGGAUUCGAGCGUUAUCCGGAUUUAUUGGGUUUAAAGGGAGCGUAGGUGGAUUGUUAAGUCAGUUGUGAAAGUUUGCGGCUCAACCGUAAAAUUGCAGUUGAAACUGGCAGUCUUGAGUACAGUAGAGGUGGGCGGAAUUCGUGGUGUAGCGGUGAAAUGCUUAGAUAUCACGAAGAACUCCGAUUGCGAAGGCAGCUCACUGGACUGCAACUGACACUGAGGCUCGAAAGUGUGGGUAUCAAACAGGAUUAGAUACCCUGGUAGUCCACACAGUAAACG